CAGUUUUCACCUUCACCUUCCAGAGUUUAGGAUUCAUCGGCUCCUCUGAAAUCUGAUUACGGUUCUAACAAUGGAGGUUCUGAGAGGUCGUGUGAGAGGAGACUUCAUGAGUAAUCUAUGCGUUGAUGUCUGAUCGUGUCGUCUCGAUUGUUCACUACCAAACCGUUACAAGUUGCAUUGAUUCAUUGUCAUUAACAAUUUCCGACCCACUACAGCCAGGAUCUCUCAUUCAGUGAAUCUUAUCCCUCUUCCAUGCGGUGAUUCUCCACCUAUAUAAAGGAUGUCUGUUGUUCUUCAAUGAUAUCAGUGCGGCUUAGAUUUUGGGAAGCAAGAAACGUGGUGAAUAGUUUAUAGGUGUAGACAUGCUCCGCGUAGACGCUAAGACGAUUAUACGACGGCAAACUGGAAAGCUGUGUGUUCUUUUGUAGACGCCUUCGAUGGUUUAGGGUUUCAGAGAGACUGUCGUGAAAUAUAGUUCUAUUGGUUCUGUUUCUUCCUUGGCCAUUAAAAAGUGAUGCAGAUUGCUCUUGGUCGUCCCUCUUCUGAAGAAAUCCGCUUCUUACAAUAUUUUUUUUAUAUUGCUUGGUCUUUUCUCGCCAGUUGCGUUUUUAUAUAUGUUUUGGAAUGUUAUUGUAUCUGCUUCAUAGUGAUGAUGAACUGCCAUUUACUGAUAUAUAUGCCAAAGGAAGAGGUUGAAAGAUGGGACAACAACUAAGCUAAGAAGAAGAAGAGAGUAAAGGGAUGAUGAGGAAACACGAGUCUGAUGCAGAGCUAAGAUGAGAUUUGUCAGAUGAAGGAGAGACCAAAAGAGAUUAAAAUCAUGUACAUGGCUAACUAUCAGACUUAAAAGUCUGUGUUAUUUUCUUCUUCUAUACAAAGAUCCAAUUUUUCCUGUGGCAA